AUGGUCUGGCCACAACGUUGGCUGGCACCCGAGUCGGGUGCUGUCAAAAUAAACGUCGAUGGAGCUAUGGCACAGAACAUGCGGGGAGGUGCAGUAGAAGCACUCUGUAGAGAUGAGAAUGGCAACUACUUAGGGUCCUCGGCAGUGGUCUAUGGAGGUAUCACCGAUCCCAUGAUGUUAGAAACCCUCGCUUGCAGGGAAGGACUAGCGCUGGCACCUGAUCUAGAUGCUCACGACUUGGUUUUGGCUUCUGAUUGCGAGGGCGUAGUCACUGACAUCAACAGGGGAACAAGUGGUCCUAACGCAGCUAUUACACAUGAAAUAUCAGCUCGUUGCUCUAGUUUCUCAUCCUGCAAGUUUAUUUUUGAGCGUAGAAAUUUCAAUUUUGAGGCUCACAAUCUCGCAAAGCAUGUAUGUAAUCUAGGUAUAGGCAGACAUGUGUGGUUGGGCACUCCUCAUGACCCGACUAUUGUACCUAUGAACAUUUUUCUCUUAUUCAAUAAAGCAUGCGAGAUUUCUCAAAAAAGAUAA
rnacentral:rRNA from 1 species